rnacentral:lncRNA from 1 species
GCUCCAAAGUAGCAGAAGCAGAUGUGGAAGAGCCAUCAUCGUCAUCCAGGUAUUCACAUAUUCAUCUACUCAUCAAUGCUGUACACGUAUACUGUGUUUUAUAGGAGCAUUUUGUUUUGGGUUUUUGUUUUUUUUUCAUAGGGGAGGGCAUGAAUUUAAAAUAUAUUUAAAAAUGUGGUCUUUUCUUUGCAGUAUUAAGCAAGGAGCUUGGCUAAAGAUCCAGGAAAUUGGAACAACCCUUCAAUCUCCCUAACAGAGAGAUUUUUCUAGGAGUAAGGGGCUAUCGUAAUAAACAAACAUCUAUAUAUGGGGGUUCAGAGAGAGAGUGAACAAGUUAGAAAUAUUAUUGGGAAAAUGGUUGCCCUUUGCAAAGAUCUGAUUAGAUCAUUUAGUCAUCCAGCUCUUAAUAAAGGUUUAAACAGAUGGGAACAAGAUCUAAAUAUUAUAAUAGAAAGAGAAGAAUGGGUGUCUUCAUUAAAUAUUAAUAAAAUAAUCCAUUGCUUGACUAUAACAGAAACUAACUUUAAGAUUAUUAAUAGAUGGUGUAGGGUACCUAAUGUUUUAUCCAGACUCUACCCUGGUUGUUCAGACCUGUGUUGGAGAUGUGGUGUGAUUAUUAUUAUUAUUAUUGUUUUAUUAUUUAAAUAGUGCUAGCAAAAUUCCAUAGCGCUGUACAGUGUGAUGAGAGGAGAUCUCAUUAUAUGGGGUUGUGUCCUUCUUUGGAAUUGUUUUUUUGGGAAAAUGAUAGAUGGAAAGAUAAGUCAACUGUGCGAAAUAGAUAUUAUUUUAAGCCUGGAGACAUUUCUGCUACACUUAAGACUACCGUAUAUACUCGUGUAUAAGUCGAUCUCAUGUAUAAGUCGAGUGCAGUUUUGUGACCAACAAUUGUGAAAUAUGCUAUGCCUCGUGGAUAAGUCGAGGGUUAAACUUGGGGCUAUGAAAUUCUGUGAUUUUUAUAAUUAUAUACACACACACUCAUACAAACACACACUUUGCAUUAUAUACACACACACAUACAUACAAAACACACUCUGCAUUAUAUACACACACACUCAUACAAACACACACUCUGCAUUAUAUACACACACUCUGUGUAUAUAAUGCAGAGUGUGUAUAUAAUGCAGAGUGUGUGUUUGUGUAGUGUGUGUGUGAACUGGGUGGGGGGAGGGCAUUUUUAUUAUUUUAAUUUUUUUUAAUUUUAAUAUUUUUUUUUAUUAUUUAAUUAUUUUUUUUGUCCCCCCUCCCUGCUUGUUAACUGGUCAGGGAGGGGGGGCUAUCUUAAUCCCUGGUGGUCCAGUGGCAUGGGCUGUGAAGUGGGGGGCCGGCAGGAAGCAUUUACUUACCUUUCCUGCAGCUCCUGUCAGCUCCCUUCUCCUCCGUUCCGGUCAGCUCCACUGUAAGUCUCGCGGUCUGGUUGCCGCGCGGAUCGUUGCCAUGGCUCUGACGGCCGCAGCUCUCUAAGUUGCCAUAAUACAGACAGUGACUCGAGUAUAAGUCGAGUGGGGGUUUUUAAGCACAAAAAAUGUGCUGAAAAACUAGACUUAUACUCGAGUAUAUACUGUAAGUAAAUUGCUCAAGCCUAAACGUGAUUUAAUUAUCCAUAUUUUUAUGGCUGUGGAAGUUCUGAUAGCCAAAAAUGGAAGUCACCGCUAACUUCACAUUGGAAAAAAAAAAUUACAGGCCAACUUAUAUAUUAAAUACAAAUGGAGAAAUGUAUUAUUGGACAACACUAGAUGCCACUGAGUACUGGACUCCUAUUUACACACAUUGAAUGCCUGAGCAAAUAGUGUUUUGGAUAUCUUACCAAGUAAGGUACAAUAAUUCUUAGUUGAUAGGCUAAGAGAGGGUUUACCUCUUGUGGCAACAUCCCUCUCCACCAAAUCGGUAGCAGUAUCUUUUGUGUGUUUUUUAUUUCUCUUUUCUCUAAGUAUGUGUAUUGUAUGUUUAUAGUUAUCUUGUUUUGACCACGUGCAAAACUACCUGAGAUCUUGAUAAUUGUACUUAUAUUUGUUAAAUUAAUAAAUGAAAAGACAGAAAAUAAAUAAAUAAAAAAGGUGUCACGAGAAAUCACAAAUAAAAUGUGCUGAAAAAUGUAUACAUCUAUUCUGCUCUGAUUUGUCUGCUUCGACGCAACUCUUCUCAUGUAUACUGUCUUACCUUUGUCUCCACCAAGCACAACAAAAAUAAAGAAUUUAAAAAAAGAAAAAUAAAUCACAUCCGCAUCUUACUGCCCUGCUCUAGGUAUAAAAAUGCACCUUUUCUAACUGUAUUUUUUCUAUUAGUAGCACUUCCCAGGUGCGAAAGCACAGUUGAAGCAUAACAUAGUCCACAUUGAGCCCUACUAUCCGUGGAUCCUGUCUGCAGAAGCAUUAUCAAUAUUAAGAAGUGUAAGUUUAUUACGUUCUAAUUUGGAUACAUUGAGUAAACUGGUUCUUAGACGCACCAGGAUUAAUGCUCUAGCUUCUGAGAAGUACUGCUCUUACGGCUUAUCAUGCUGUAAUGAUCCAAUUGUGUGUGAAUGUGGGCUUGGGCAGUUUGUCUGGUAAGGCUCUGGAAACGCAGCUGUUCCUGUGUAAAAACUGUGAGUAGAACAAGCAGUCAAAAACAUGUGGAUUUAGGAAAAGAAUCAAACAAAUUAAAAUCACAUGUGGAGACUGAAAUAAACUGCAAGCAGUAAGCAUGACUCAUGCCAUCGAUCAGGGCAGAGCAAUAUCCGGGCACCAGAGCAUGUUGACAUGGUGCCUACUGUUUAUUGAGGCCCUGUAUUAACGUAUACAGCCUGAGCUGAUGAAGGCAGAUUUUACAGAACCUUCAAGAAAAAGCCUUUAAUUCUCAGUUUUUCAGUUAAAAUGACUUUUUCCAUUUUCCUUUUAACUUUUUCUUAUACAGCCUUUGAAUAAAAAUCCUGAAGCCUGUCUAGGAUCCAGCGUGAAUGAUGCCAAUGAUCUGAAGGACCACCCUUUCUUUGAAGCAUGUCAGAUUUAAAGACUCAUUCUAGUAGCUUAAUAAAGAUUAGGUUUUAGUUGAGCUUUUUAAACAAAUACACAAUGUCCCAGGAAUGUCAGAAAUCCAUUUGUACCAUCCAUUGAGGAACCGGAGGUCGUCAGCAACUUUAACAGAACGUAUACAACAAGCGCCUUCAUUCUCACUCCACCAUCUGAGGAAGAGCUGGAGCCAUUCAAAGAUUUCAAAUAGGUUUCCGAUUGGAUUUAAAUCUGGAGACAGGCAAGGAUGGGCUCCGCUAGAGUGGAC